GAUGAACGCUGGCGGCGUGCCUAAUACAUGCAAGUCGAGCGAACGGACGAGAAGCUUGCUUCUCUGAUGUUAGCGGCGGACGGGUGAGUAACACGUGGAUAACCUACCUAUAAGACUGGGAUAACUUCGGGAAACCGGAGCUAAUACCGGAUUAUAUUUUGAACCGCAUGGUUCAAAAGUGAAAGACGGUCUUGCUGUCACUUAUAGAUGGAUCCGCGCUGCAUUAGCUAGUUGGUAAGGUAACGGCUUACCAAGGCAACGAUGCAUAGCCGACCUGAGAGGGUGAUCGGCCACACUGGAACUGAGACACGGUCCAGACUCCUACGGGAGGCAGCAGUAGGGAAUCUUCCGCAAAGGGCGAAAGCCUGACGGAGCAACGCCGCGUGAGUGAUGAAGGUCUUCGGAUCGUAAAACUCUGUUAUUAGGGAAGAACAUAUGUGUAAGUAACUGUGCACAUCUUGACGGUACCUAAUCAGAAAGCCACGGCUAACUACGUG
rnacentral:rRNA from 1 species